AGAGUUCGAUCCUGGCUCAGGAUGAACGCUGGCGGCGCGCCUAACACAUGCAAGUCGAACGGCACCCCUCUCCGGAGGGAAGCGAGUGGCGAACGGCUGAGUAACACGUGGAGAACCUGCCCCCUCCCCCGGGAUAGCCGCCCGAAAGGACGGGUAAUACCGGAUACCCCGGGGUGCCGCAUGGCACCCCGGCUAAAGCCCCGACGGGAGGGGAUGGCUCCGCGGCCCAUCAGGUAGACGGCGGGGUGACGGCCCACCGUGCCGACAACGGGUAGCCGGGUUGAGAGACCGACCGGCCAGAUUGGGACUGAGACACGGCCCAGACUCCUACGGGAGGCAGCAGUGGGGAAUCUUGCGCAAUGGGGGGAACCCUGACGCAGCGACGCCGCGUGCGGGACGGAGGCCUUCGGGUCGUAAACCGCUUUCAGCAGGGAAGAGUCAAGACUGUACCUGCAGAAGAAGCCCCGGCUAACUACGUGCCAGCAGCCGCGGUAAUACGUAGGGGGCGAGCGUUAUCCGGAUUCAUUGGGCGUAAAGCGCGCGUAGGCGGCCCGGCAGGCCGGGGGUCGAAGCGGGGGGCUCAACCCCCCGAAGCCCCCGGAACCUCCGCGGCUUGGGUCCGGUAGGGGAGGGUGGAACACCCGGUGUAGCGGUGGAAUGCGCAGAUAUCGGGUGGAACACCGGUGGCGAAGGCGGCCCUCUGGGCCGAGACCGACGCUGAGGCGCGAAAGCUGGGGGAGCGAACAGGAUUAGAUACCCUGGUAGUCCCAGCCGUAAACGAUGGACGCUAGGUGUGGGGGGACGAUCCCCCCGUGCCGCAGCCAACGCAUUAAGCGUCCCGCCUGGGGAGUACGGCCGCAAGGCUAAAACUCAAAGGAAUUGAUGGGGGCCCGCACAAGCAGCGGAGCAUGU
rnacentral:rRNA from 1 species